GAAAAUACUAAUUCUUCCAGAUGCAGUGUUGAAUGUAAAUGCAUUCAUUAGAGAUGGACAGCCCACAUUGGCCCUCAGCCUCAGGGAGCCAGGCUUUCAGAAGGGGCCCCAGCACAGGGCUCUCCCCUUGAUACCACUUUAUCAAAGGUCCUGUUUUCUAACUGCUUGAUCAACCUCUUUGCCUUUCUCUGGAUUCCUUCAACUAGUACAUAAAAAUCUGUAACUGCUGUGGGUAAAACAGGGCAUGCCAGCCCAGCUCAGGCUGUCUCCCUCUGAGGAUGGAAGAGCACUUGCUAAGGAUGCUGAAGAACCCCAACUAGGAAAAAAGGAGAGACUGGGAAGGGAGCCAUUUCUGGAAAAGUAUAUACCAGGCUUGAGCCUUAAAGAAAAUUGACUGCUUGAUCUUUGUGGAGGCUGAACUUGCUCUGUGCUGCCUUUUUGGACUGUGUGGAUCUUGGAUGUUGUGUGGAAGACAGCAAACUUUUCCUCUGCUCUUACUGAGCAUCCAAGCAGCGCUGCCUUGAAUGCUGCCAGUGAGGAGACACAGGGACUGCAAAGAAGUUCCUGGUGCCAGAGAAGGGAACAGAUCUGGUUCAGUGUGGUGGUUUGACCCUGGCUGAACACCAGGUGCUUACCAAAGCCAUUCUAUAUUUCCUCUCCUCAACUGGACAGAAGAGAGAAAAUACAAGAAAAGGCUCAUGGAUCAAAUUAAGGGCAGGGAGAGAUCACUCUCCAAUUAUUGUCAUGGGCAAAACAGGCUUGACUUUGGGAAAUUAGUUUAAUUUAUUACCAAUCAAAUUUGAGUAUGAUAAUUAAAAAUAUAACCAAAUCAUAAAACACCUUCCCCUCACCUCUCCCUUCCUCCUGGGCUCAGCUUUACUCCUGGUUUUCAGUACCUCCUCUGCUCCAGCAGCACAAGGGGACAGGGAAUGGG
ensembl:lncRNA